rnacentral:lncRNA from 1 species
AACUCCACUUGACCAAAGACCUCACUAUCCAAAUCCAAUCUCGCCACUACAAGCUCCACUUAACCCAAAUAGACCCAUCCAUGUUGAGGGCUAUGGUAAGGGAGGACAACAUGAUGGUUAUGGGCCGUAUUAUGAUGUUUACUUGAGGGAAGAAAGAAUGAGGCAUAGACAUGGGGAGUUAGACCGAGAGGUGAGAGAUAGCCACCCAAACUGAGAUGUAGGUCUCAAUUCCAUCAAAGUGAGCCUUCCCGUUUUCAAAGGUGAGAGUGAUCCCGAAGCUUACCUUGCAUGGGAGUCAUCUUGUGACAAAAUCUUCCAACUUAAUGAUCUCACCGAAGAAAAAAAAAGUUGUUAUGCUA